rnacentral:rRNA from 1 species
CAAAAACAUGUCUUUUUGAUUAUAAUUUAAAGUCUAACCUGCCCAAUGAUUAUUAAUUUAAUGGCCGCGGUAUUUUGACCGUGCUAAGGUAGCAUAAUAAUUAGUUUUUUAAUUGAGAACUAGAAUGAAUGGUUGGACAAAGAAAAUUCUGUCUCAAGUUUAAUUUAAUUAGAAUUUUAUUUUUAAGUAAAAAAGCUUAAAUGAUUUUAAAAGACGAGAAGACCCUAUAGAGUUUAAUAUUAUUUAUUAUAUAUAAUUUUAGGUAUUAUAAAUUUAAUAUAUUAAAUAUUAUUUUGUUGGGGUGACUAAAAAAUUUAAUAAACUUUUUUUAUCUAAGUUCAUUAAUUGAUGAUUUUGUGAUCCAUUAUUUAUGAUUAAAAGAUUAAAUUACCUUAGGGAUAACAGCGUAAUUUUUUUUAAGAGUUCUUAUCGAAAAAAAAGAUUGCGACCUCGAU